rnacentral:misc_RNA from 1 species
CCCCCCUUUUCUCUUCUUGACGAGCCUCGCCCGAGAGCCUUCAGUCGUGUUGGAGGUGUGUGCCCGUGCGGUCGGCUUUUCUCUGCCUUCCUCGUUUCAUUUCAUUCCAAACAUUCCUGCCAGACAGACAGAGAGAGAAAAAGAGAGAAAGAAAAGAAACACGAUCCCUUUUUUGUUCGUUUGUUGCCUUACCUGGUGCGUCUUCACAGUGUGGACCUUUGGCCGUUUUCGCUGGUGACUUGAACGUUCGACUCGUGAACCUCCCCACCAAUGGAAUACAAAUCGGAUUGACUUAACCGACUGUCACUUUUCAACGCCAUGGGUUCCACCGAUUUGCUGCCUUGAUCGACAACUCAAAUUCCGCAGUCCGCAUCCGAAAUCAACCACCACCCCCACCAAAAGUCUGUCACUCUGUCACCUGAGAAAAGAGUCGUGUGAGAAACAAAAGAAACGGCGUCGUCCAGCAGUUUGUACACGUUCCGACGUCUCGGUGGACAAGGGCUAGGAGCCGCCAGGAGCGAUCAGGAAAUGUCUCGCUUUAGUGAAGUGGGUUCGAUGGCGCCUCACGGCGGCCGCAAGUUGCUCAAAUUCCUGAUCCUCUUUGAGAAUUCGUCGCUCCUCUUUUUCCCCGGCCAAUUCCUCAGCGGCCGCGUCCUCGUCGAAUUGGAGGACGAAACGCCCGUCCUAGGUUUGUUCUUUCACGUGGUAGGUGAGGGAGUGGUGAGGUUGCUGAAGAACGGCCGGCAGCACAUCAGUGACCGCGAGAACUACAUCGAUUUCCGUAUGCGACUCCUCGGCGAACCAGGACAAGGACCCGUUCUGCUUUCGCCCGGAAUCCACAGUUUCCCCUUCAAAUUGGGGCUGCCGCUGGGCCUGCCGUCGACCUUCCUCGGCAAACACGGAUGGGUCCAGUACUACUGCAAGGCGGCGUUCCGCGAGCCCGCCGGCCUCCUGCACAAGAACCAACAGGUGUUCAUCGUGAUGAAUCCCAUCGAUCUGAACUUGGAACCGCCCAUACUAGCUCAACCGUUCCACUGUGAAAUCGAGCAUCGACUGGGAUUGAACUGCUUCACCUCGGGUCCCGUGUCGUGCCGCGUGCGUCUGGAUCGCGGCGGCUACGUCCCGGGAGAAACGAUCGGCAUCUGGGCCUCUGUUCACAAUCAGAGUCGCGUCACCAUCAAAAGAACCAAAGCCUCGUUAACGGAGACUAUUCAAUACAUGGCGAAAAAUCGAGUGGUGCAAACGGAAACUCGGGAGCUGGCCUCACUCAACCGAGGCAAAAUCAAGGCCGGUGAGACGGACGAUUGGAGAAACGAGCAGUUGUACGUUCCGCCUUUGCCUCCGACCAAUUUGAGAGGCUGCCACAUUAUCCGAAUACAAUACGACGUCUUUUUUCAAAUCGAGCCGCACAGCAUGGAGAAGCCCAUCAAACUGCAACUGCCCAUCAUGCUGGCCACGUACCCGUUACGAAGCGACGACGGGACGUUGAGGAGGAAACGAGGCGCCCACUACCCGUCGACUCUGCCCAUCUUCCGCCCAUGGCUCGACGAGAAAACGUUUGAUUGACGGCCGGCAUCAGUGGAGAAUGGAGUUUUGAAAUGACACACGCGAAAAAACCGCAGCGAACAAAAGAAGAAGAAACCAACAAAUCAACUUGACGUGAAGGAAAACAUGACAUUUUAUUAUUAUAUAUAUUAUAUAUAAGCCAAUUGCACUUUUACUGCGACGACGACAGCAGCCGAUGACCUUUUUUUUCUUUCUCUGAAGAAAAGAAAAAGAAUAAUAUUAGGAAAUGAGAUAAGGCGCAUGUAGCAAAAAUAAUACUGCAUCCCGUUAGAUCAUUGUAUAUUCCGCCUACACACUAUGAUACCAGUGCCGAGUGAACCACCACCAUCCAAUAUAUAACCUUUCGAGCAUAAAUAGCUUCUCUCUUUUUUUUUGUUUCCUUCAUAGUAUUCCGCUCUGUGUAUUUUCGGCUGACUUAUUCUGGCGUCAUUGAAUUUCCCUUUGAUUCAUGGCGGCCAUUUCCUCUCUCUUUCUCCCUUCUCUCUCGCUUUAAUUAAAAAUCAGCAGUUGAAAAGGAAAAAAGAAAUUCCCCCCUUUUUCUCUCUUUCUCUCUCUCUCUGCUGGCCAGUGCAGCGUGAAUUUGUUUUUAUUGCCACGACGAAAUUGACCAUCAAGCGCUUAUUUCACCUCGCUAAAAACAAAACAACAAAAAUAAAAAUAAAAAUAAAUUUCUAAUUUGAUUUUUCUUGACCUUGUCUGGGCGAUUCGUUUUGUAUUCGCAAACGUUUUUUGGAAUUUGGAGCUAUAUUCUGGCGCGAUGCCCCGCCCAUUCGUAUUAUAUGACUAUACAUACUCUUACGCAACUAUUAUAGACGCACCGCUGUCCUUUCACCUCUUUCGUGGUUUUGUCCGUGUGUGUGUUUUUUUGUUUUUUUGGUAUGCUAAUCAGAUAUUUUGUUUUUGGGAGACUACCCGUCGUCGUGUGAUGAUGUGCCUAGCGUUAAAAUUAAACUCGCAGGAAAAGAAAAACUGUUUCCUCUCCUCCUCCUCCUUUUGGUAACAACUUCACAACUUUUUUGGGACGCGCUCACAAAAGGAAAAACACACAAAAUAAUUCUGUAUGCAAAUCAGUGUUGUAACCUCUUCUUCUUCUUCUUCUUCUUCUCUCCAAAUUCAAUUUUAAUUUCCUUUUGUAGAAAAUGAUAAUUAUUAUCAUCAAGAAAACUUUGUUUUCACUUCCCAAAUCGGCCGUGAAAUUUCCCCAUCAAACCCUGCCCCCCCCUCUCUCUUUUUUUUUUUUUAGAAAUUUUUCCAUUUUGAAAUUUGUGUGUGUUUAAUCGAUUUCAUAAUGUGUUAUCUUUUAAUAUAAAUAUGAAACCUC